UGUGGCAAUCUGCGUAGCCUCCAACUGUCCCAGCUUUUCAUUUGUCACCUGCAAGUCGUUAUCAAGUCCCUCUUUGUGCAGCUUCACUUUCCUUUCAAAAUGUUGUAUGAUGCCCUUAGUGCGAGGUGUAAGUGGUGUUUCGUUACCAUCAUCUGCCCCUGGCAUGGUUCAAAGACAAAGACAUCAAAAAGGCAAGUGAAGAAAUAAAAGCCCUACAACUACUAGGAUGUAGCUACAGCAAGUCGCUCACACUCAACCUGUAACACAAGUUCUUACCAAUUCUUACCUUGCUUGACAGGAGGGGUCGUCUGCUAACAAGUGUACAGCAAUGGACGAAGUGUAUCGGUGCUGCAGCACAAGACCUGUCAAGCUGUAGAGUAUGUGGAGCUAUAGGUGGGCUGAAACAAGGAACGAACUAGCACCACGUUAGUUAUAAAAGCGAGCUGAAUAAACGCUCAACGGUGGUACUGUGCUGGUCCUAGCCUAGACCGUGCUAGAGACGCGAGCCUGGACACAAAGGGAAAACACAGCACACCACUAGAAACAAAAUGAGCAGCCCUACUGGAAACAAAAGGAACAACAAUCCCCUUCUUUUGAUUUUUUUUCUUUUUUCUUUCUUUCUUUCUUUUUUUUCUUUAUUUUUUUUUCUUUCUCUUUUCUUUUUUUUGGGGAACCUCAAAACCUGAUUAUAUAAACGAAAUAGUACAAAAUAUCACUUCACCACUCUCACGCUCUCACUAGAGUAAGGCUGAACCUCAAAAUUCAAUAUAUCUAGCACAAGUAUGAAGUGCUAUCUUUCCUUUUGGAUCACGUUGAUGGAAACGCAGAAUAGACAAACAAGUGGCUGCACCUAUUAUCAAGAUCUACUCAAAUUCCAACCCACAAUAGAUUGGACGCAGUUGUGACUAGAUGGUGACAAGAACUCAAAACUCUAAAGGACUAAACUAAAACCAGCACUGGACACGAUCGAAGCAAACACUCAUUCAACCAGCCCUAACUAAGUAGUACUAGCCACGGCACAAAGGAUUUAUAGGAUUAUGGAAAACAAAUCCGCUAUAUUUUUUGUCUUUUUUUUUGGACUAUAGGAAAAACAAACACGAAGAAUUGGAAAUCUCUCACCGAUAAACCUUGCUCUGAUUACCAACUGAUGUGAACCCACUAGGGUUUUCGCCUGAUCUUUCGAUGAGAGGCGCUGGAUAACUCGAUUAGUGAAUGGAGAUGACGUUCACGGCCCGACUACAGCCCUCAAGACUGCGCCUUAGCAACCGAUACACCGCCUCCAAUGGCUGUCACGAUCUUGUGGAGCGCAACACCCGGCCACUAGGGCACUCGUCCUGCAAGCAAUCGAAGAACCAGCAAGAACAAGUAGAACAAGUACUAAAUUACCAGAUGUAAAUGAAGGUUCAAACUCAAUCUCUAAUGAAGUGGGGUUUCGAAAACAAGAAGACGGGUGGCUGGAUCAGCACGCGCGCUUACAAGCAAGUAGCGAAGGCUAAACUUUAUCUAAUCAAAACCCAGUUGUUCAUGGCGGCUCUAGAUGUAAAUAAAUAGAGGGGAGGACAAUCAAAGGGGUGCUAGAGUCAUCCUCCAACCCUAGGACGCGUCCCUAAUGGACUCAACUUGAUACAUGGGCCAUUGGUCCAAAAUAGGGUGACGCAGCACCAAAACAGAAAAAGGUGUCGGCACGAAAACAAGGACUGCGUCCGACUCAUAAGCUGCAUAGAUAUGUAGUUGGACCCAUUGGAAAGUAGACUUCAUG
rnacentral:lncRNA from 1 species